rfam:Thalassolituus oleivorans MIL-1 complete genome
UAUCGUCUCGUGCCUCUGGGCCUGCCGCAAUGAAUGAAUACGGUUAGGCCGCACGGGCAUGGAUGCCCGAGCAGCGCAGUUUGAGCCAUGGAUGGCGAAUCUGCGCGUGGCCGUAAACCGUAUGAGUAAAUAAGGAUCUCAGGCCAGAAAGCACAAAAAAAGG